AGCCGGGGCAUUUUGUCCCGGAAGUAUAGUGUUGCGCAUUCUUCCUUUUGCCCAUAUUUGGAAGACGCCGUGACAGAGCGCAGCUGGUUCGUUAGCCAGACAGGUAAUCAGCAGUUGCAUUUAAAAGCAGGUAGAUUGCUGAGGAGAUCAGAUCCCAGGCUGAUGAUUCCUGCAGAGGAGAGAUACUUCUAGAGCGAGUGACGUACAGAACACCAUUGACUGGUUUUGCUUUAAAGAAGGUUGGCCUGCUACUGUGUCAGUUUUUGUUUUAGUUUAAAAUUUCUUCCUUUUUUGGGAUAGUUAUUAUAGAUUAAAAGUAUUUUCUUUUUGCUAGAUUUGUUGAAGGAAGGGGAGUUUUUAUUGUCUAGCCUUCUGGCUUGUUUAAAAUAAUAAAAAGGACCUAUGCUGUCUCUGGGUCCCAAGCUAUUUUAUUCAGAUUGAGGAGACUAGUGGAAGGGGAGUUUUUCUUUCCUUUGCUGUAUCACCAGGGCUUUUGUGUGAGUGUGUUUUUGUUGGGGAACACUUAGGUGCAUUUAGUUGUAUUUGUGUUUUCUUUAUUAUUAUUCCUCCCCCAAACAGUCUAAUGUUAUUUAAUUGGGUUUAAUUGUA